rnacentral:rRNA from 1 species
CCUACGGGGGGCAGCAGUGGGGAAUAUUGCACAAUGGGCGAAAGCCUGAUGCAGCAACGCCGCGUGAGCGAUGAAGGCCUUCGGGUCGUAAAACUCUGUCCUCAAGGAAGAUAAUGACGGUACUUGAGGAGGAAGCCCCGGCUAACUACGUGUCAGCAGCCGCGGUAAUACGUAGGGGGCUAGCGUUAUGCGGAAUUACUGGGCGUAAAGGGUGCGUAGGUUGUUUCGUGAGUGGGAGGUGAAAGGCUACGGCUAAACCGUAGUAAGCCUUUGACACUGGGAAACUUGAGUGCAGGAGGGGAGAGUGGAAUUCCUAGUGUAGCGGUGAAAUGCGUAGAUAUUAGGAGGAACACCAGUUGCGAAGGCGGCUCUCUGGACUGUAACUGACACUGAGGCACGAAAGCGUGGGGAGCAAACAGGAUUAGAUACCCGUGUAGUC